AGGCGGCCCCAGGACCCUUCCCCUGAUGGGAUGUUGAACCAGCCUCCAGCUGCCUCGCCCAGCAAGCCCCCCAGCUCCUCCAUCUGUCCCCUGGUUCUGGGGUGGGCAGAGCCGGGAUCAACAGAACCCUGCUGGACACUCGGGAAGGAAGCGUGGAGAGACCCCCGCGCCUGCCCGGGGCCUCCCGCUACUCGGGCGUCUCCUCCUCGGUCCGCUGGAGGCGUUUGGAAGCAGCUGUCCCUGAGCCGAGCCGGGGACACAGGACAUCAUCAGGGGAAGGUUCUGAGGCUCCUGUGGACUUCAGAAUACAGGACGAUAGAACGCUGUGUGCCAUGGAGUCCAAGCUGGGAGACGACACACACUGCCCUCACCUGUGGUUGAACAAAGCCAGGGAAUCCCCCCAAACUGGAAUCCACCCUGGUGCCUCUCAGCGGGAGAACCGAGGUCCACGACACCACCCAGCCACCAACAUCCGAACACACGUGUGCGAGGCUCAGCGUGAGAAGCCGGACUCCAGUGGCCACUGCCGCACGAGAGGCCCGGGAUGCCGCGCACAGGGCGUUCCUGAGAACUCCAGGGACAGAAAACUGGUUGGCGGCUACAGGCGUGGGAGGAGAAAUUGAUAAAGGAGCUGGGGGGAGUUCUGAGAGGGGUGGAACCAUUGGCGUCCUGAUUGGGGCGGUGGGUUCAUGACGGUAAGUAUGUGUUGGUCACAGUCAGAAGGUGAAUUUCAGUGCACGUAAAGUACUUAAGGCAGAGACAACAGGGUGUGCAACGGCCCUGAGGCUUGGAUCAGGUUGGAGGAAGUGGCCGGGGCUGAGGUAGUCUUGAAGGCCACGUCCACUGCCUUGCACCGUGGGAAAGUGCUGGGUGUCUUAAGCACUGAGGAAUAUCAGCAGAUUUUUGUUUCGGAAAGAUUGCGUGUUCCGUUUCCAGGCAGAAGCCACUGGACACAUGGCCUGACCCUGCCUCUGAAAUGUUCUCAUCUGCCCUGCCCCCAUCCUUUUUAAAGAAUCGGAACUUGGGGCUGAUACUUAAAAAAUAGGUUUUGCAGAGAAUCCAGAUCCCUGGCUUCUCCCUAGGGACACACACUCCGGGUCGCCCCAGCCCUCUCCCGCUCCCUCCUUCCUGCCCUGAGCUGGGUUGGGGUUUUGACCCCAGGGGUUGAAAAUGGAUGAUAGGAGGGAAGGGGCCAAGGACAGUGGCACUUCCCAGUCCUGGCUGAACACUGUCAUCACCUGGUGCUACAGCUUGGGUACCAAAUGUCCCCCGAAAGGCCCCGUGUUGGACCUUGGUCACCAGCCUGUGCUGUUAUAGGACCCCCUAGGAGGCGGGGCCUAGUGGGAGGAAGUGAUGUAAUGGGGGCGUGGCCUGAGGGGAUAA